rnacentral:rRNA from 1 species
GACGGGGGAUGCAAGUGUUAUCCGGAAUCACUGGGCGGAAAGCGUCUGCAGGUGGUUUCCUAAGUCCACUGUUAAACCUUGAGGCUCAACCUCAAAUCUGCAUUGGAAACUAGGAGACUUGAGUAUAGUAGGGGUAGAGGGAAUUUCCAGUGGAGCGGUGAAAUGCGUAGAUAUUGGAAAGAACACCGAUGGCGAAGGCACUCUACUGGGCUAUUACUGACACUCAGAGACGAGAGCUAGGGGAGCAAAUGGG